UAAUAAGAAGCAAAAAAUUGCAUUUAGUUUCGACCUAAAAGUUUGGUAAUUUACCCUUAUUAU
rnacentral:tRNA from 1 species